rnacentral:rRNA from 1 species
GAUGAACGCUAGCUACAGGCUUAACACAUGCAAGUCGAGGGGAAACGGCAUUGAGUGCUUGCACUCUUUGGACGUCGACCGGCGCACGGGUGAGUAACGCGUAUCCAACCUUCCCAUUACUGUGGGAUAACCUGCCGAAAGGCAGACUAAUACCGCAUAGUCUUCGAUGACGGCAUCAGAUUUGAAGUAAAGAUUUAUCGGUAAUGGAUGGGGAUGCGUCUGAUUAGCUUGUUGGCGGGGUAACGGCCCACCAAGGCGACGAUCAGUAGGGGUUCUGAGAGGAAGGUCCCCCACAUUGGAACUGAGACACGGUCCAAACUCCUACGGGAGGCAGCAGUGAGGAAUAUUGGUCAAUGGACGGAAGUCUGAACCAGCCAAGUAGCGUGCAGGAUGACGGCCCUAUGGGUUGUAAACUGCUUUUGUAUGGGGAUAAAGUUAGGGACGUGUCCCUAUUUGCAGGUACCAUACGAAUAAGGACCGGCUAAUUCCGUGCCAGCAGCCGCGGUAAUACGGAAGGUCCAGGCGUUAUCCGGAUUUAUUGGGUUUAAAGGGAGCGUAGGCUGGAGAUUAAGUGUGUUGUGAAAUGUAGACGCUCAACGUCUGAACUGCAGCGCAUACUGGUUUCCUUGAGUACGCACAACGUUGGCGGAAUUCGUUGUGUAGCGGUGAAAUGCUUAGAUAUGACGAAGAACUCCGAUUGCGAAGGCAGCUGACGGGAGCGCAACUGACGCUUAAGCUCGAAGGUGCGGGUAUCAAACAGG